GAUGAACGCUGGCGGCGUGCCUAAUACAUGCAAGUAGAACGCUGAAGCUUGGUGCUUGCACCGAGCGGAUGAGUUGCGAACGGGUGAGUAACGCGUAGGUAACCUGCCUCUUAGCGGGGGAUAACUAUUGGAAACGAUAGCUAAUACCGCAUAAAAGUCGAUAUCGCAUGAUAUUGAUUUGAAAGGUGCAAUUGCAUCACUAAGAGAUGGACCUGCGUUGUAUUAGCUAGUUGGUGAGGUAACGGCUCACCAAGGCAACGAUACAUAGCCGACCUGAGAGGGUGAUCGGCCACACUGGGACUGAGACACGGCCCAGACUCCUACGGGAGGCAGCAGUAGGGAAUCUUCGGCAAUGGGGGCAACCCUGACCGAGCAACGCCGCGUGAGUGAAGAAGGUUUACGGAUCGUAAAGCUCUGUUGUAAGAGAAGAGCGAGUGUGAGAGUGGAAAGUUCACACUGUGACGGUAACUUACCAGAAAGGGACGGCUAACUACGUG
rnacentral:rRNA from 1 species